CCAGAUGCCUACCCAGGC
rnacentral:misc_RNA from 1 species